rnacentral:rRNA from 1 species
ACGCUCGACACCUGGAGGCAGCAGUGGGGAAUAUUGCACAAUGGGGGAAACCCUGAUGCAGCGACGCCGCGUGGAGGAAGAAGGUCUUCGGAUUGUAAACUCCUGUUGUUGGGGAAAAAGAGGAUGGUACCCAACAAGGAAGUGACGGCUAACUACGUGUCAGCAGCCGCGGUAAUCUGAGCGGGCUGGCAAGGC